rnacentral:rRNA from 1 species
UACGUAGGGGGCCAGCGUUGCUCGGAAUUACUGGGCGUAAAGGGUUCGUAGGCGGUGUGGCAAGUCGGGAGUGAAAUCUCCAGGCUCAACUUGGAGGCUGCUUCCGAAACUGCCGCGCUAGAGUGCGAGAGAGGCCAGUGGAAUUGCAGGUGUAGCGGUGAAAUGCGUAGAUAUCUGCAGGAACACCCGUGGCGAAGGCGGCUGGCUGGAUCGCAACUGACGCUGAGGAACGAAAGCUAGGGGAGCGAACAGG